UCCCUGGUGGCUCAGAUGGUAAAGCAUCUGCCUAUAAUGCAGAAGAUCUGGGUUCAAUCCCUGGGUCGGGAA
rnacentral:tRNA from 1 species